UGGUUGGAAGGGAUACCUGCAAACAUGCAGAAGAAAGGAAGCUGUCCUAGAGUCCAGAGCCCCAACUAGUGGAAGGCUGGAGAACUGCAUGUGAAGAGAACCCUUUUGCCUGGGAGACACCCACCAGACUUCCCGCAGGCUUAGUACAGGUGUAACUAUAACGGAAGCAGCUGGAAACAGAGCCAGAGGUGGGGGUGGUGAAGCAGAUUCUGAAACUGGUGUACCUCAAGCUUGAAAGUGAUUGAACGGCAACAAAAUGGUGCAACACAGAUGCCAUUGAAUUUCUCUAAAUUAAAUGAGCUUCUGGUGCAACUCCGUGGCUACCAGGAGAAUAAGGCAGGCUCAAAACCAUGUCACAUAACUCAAAAAAUUAGAGAUACUGAGUCUUAAAGCAAUAUA